AUGAACGCUAGCUACAGGCUUAACACAUGCAAGUCGAGGGGCAGCAUGGUCUUAGCUUGCUAAGGCCGAUGGCGACCGGCGCACGGGUGAGUAACACGUAUCCAACCUGCCGUCUACUCUUGGACAGCCUUCUGAAAGGAAGAUUAAUACAAGAUGGCAUCAUGAGUCCGCAUGUUCACAUGAUUAAAGGUAUUCCGGUAGACGAUGGGGAUGCGUUCCAUUAGAUAGUAGGCGGGGUAACGGCCCACCUAGUCUUCGAUGGAUAGGGGUUCUGAGAGGAAGGUCCCCCACAUUGGAACUGAGACACGGUCCAAACUCCUACGGGAGGCAGCAGUGAGGAAUAUUGGUCAAUGGGCGAGAGCCUGAACCAGCCAAGUAGCGUGAAGGAUGACUGCCCUAUGGGUUGUAAACUUCUUUUAUAAAGGAAUAAAGUCGGGUAUGGAUACCCGUUUGCAUGUACUUUAUGAAUAAGGAUCGGCUAACUCCGUGCCAGCAGCCGCGGUAAUACGGAGGAUCCGAGCGUUAUCCGGAUUUAUUGGGUUUAAAGGGAGCGUAGAUGGAUGUUUAAGUCAGUUGUGAAAGUUUGCGGCUCAACCGUAAAAUUGCAGUUGAUACUGGAUAUCUUGAGUGCAGUUGAGGCAGGCGGAAUUCGUGGUGUAGCGGUGAAAUGCUUAGAUAUCACGAAGAACUCCGAUUGCGAAGGCAGCCUGCUAAGCUGCAACUGACAUUGAGGCUCGAAAGUGUGGGUAUCAAACAGGAUUAGAUACCCUGGUAGUCCACACGGUAAACGAUGAAUACUCGCUGUUUGCGAUAUACUGCAAGCGGCCAAGCGAAAGCGUUAAGUAUUCCACCUGGGGAGUACGCCGGCAACGGUGAAACUCAAAGGAAUUGACGGGGGCCCGCACAAGCGGAGGAACAUGUGGUUUAAUUCGAUGAUACGCGAGGAACCUUACCCGGGCUUAAAUUGCAGAUGAAUUACGGUGAAAGCCGUAAGCCGCAAGGCAUCUGUGAAGGUGCUGCAUGGUUGUCGUCAGCUCGUGCCGUGAGGUGUCGGCUUAAGUGCCAUAACGAGCGCAACCCUUGUUGUCAGUUACUAACAGGUUCCGCUGAGGACUCUGACAAGACUGCCAUCGUAAGAUGUGAGGAAGGUGGGGAUGACGUUAAAUCAGCACGGCCCUUACGUCCGGGGCUACACACGUGUUACAAUGGGGGGUACAGAGGGCCGCUACCACGCGAGUGGAUGCCAAUCCCCAAAACCUCUCUCAGUUCGGACUGGAGUCUGCAACCCGACUCCACGAAGCUGGAUUCGCUAGUAAUCGCGCAUCAGCCACGGCGCGGUGAAUACGUUCCCGGGCCUUGUACACACCGCCCGUCAAGCCAUGGGAGCCGGGGGUACCUGAAGUGCGUAACCGCGAGGAGCGCCCUAGGGUAAAACUGGUGACUGGGGCU
rnacentral:rRNA from 1 species